CCUAGCAGGCUUUGUGUAGCCUCCCUGUGAGGGUCCCAGACACUCUUGGCUCUUGUGUGCUCACUGGUCAGCCUGCCUGCAUCCUAGAGUGAUGCUUGUGCUCACCCAGUUUUUGUAGGUCAGCUCCAGCUUGGGCACCCGGAUGAAUUUUUCCAUCACCCAGGCAGUUUCCACGGCGUCUUGAAUUUGGACUUUAGCCCUUCCUUGGUUCCCUGUUACACAUUUACAGUUGCUCCCACGUCACUGCCUCACAGUUCUUUUUAGAAACGGUUUCCUCCUGUGCUGAAGCUAUCCACCCUCUCACCAUCUUCUGAUCUGUCCUGAAAUCCCUGUCUCCUGACUGGAGUGGGAGGCCAGAGUCCUUCAAAAGAGAACGAAGUAUGUGAACUUGAAGAUCUGAAAAAGAUGGGGGAGAAUAAUGCUGGAGGAGAAGGAACUUGACCUCCCCACUUUGAAGGGAUUCUGGGUACGUUGACAUCCCGAGGGAAGAACUACAAUAAACAGCCCCAGAUCCCCACCCAGAAACCAAAUGAUGUGGUGGAAGCGAAGCCCCGAUGGAUCCACUGAACAGCACUAAACAAAGGAACGACUUUCAGGGCUGGACUGGGAUCACUGGGCACUUUUUGAGUUCUGUGUUCGGUUCUGUGGAGAGAAAGCUACGUAUGAGAAGCUGACUGCGCUCUCGCGAGACGUCAGUUCUAAGCACUUUCUCUAGUGUCUCCAGGAAAUCCUGCAAGUUGGUCUGGGCCUCUUUUUUUUUUUUUUUUGAACCAGAACACCAAAUUCAAAUAAAAUCCCCUUUCUUCUUACUUGAGUCACAUAACCAUUCAGAUCCUCAGU